rnacentral:rRNA from 1 species
AUUGAACGCUGGCGGCAUGCCUUACACAUGCAAGUCGAACGGCAGCGCGGGGCAACCUGGCGGCGAGUGGCGAACGGGUGAGUAAUAUAUCGGAACAUACCCUAGAGUGGGGGAUAACGUAGCGAAAGUUACGCUAAUACCGCAUACGCACUAAGGUGGAAAGUGGGGGAUUCGCAAGAACCUCAUGCUCAUGGAGUGGCCGAUAUCUGAUUAGCUAGUUGGUGAGGUAAAGGCUCACCAAGGCGACGAUCAGUAGCUGGUUUGAGAGAACGACCAGCCACACUGGAACUGAGACACGGUCCAGACUCCUACGGAGGCAGCAGUGGGGAAUUUUGGGACAAUGGGGCAACCCUGAUCCAGCAAUGCCGCGUGAGUGAAGAAGGCC